rnacentral:rRNA from 1 species
AUUGAACGCUGGCGGCAGGCCUAACACAUGCAAGUCGAACGAGUGGCGGACGGGUGAGUAAUGUCUGGGAAACUGCCUGAUGGAGGGGGAUACCUACUGUACACGGUAUCUAAUCCCUCAUACCAUCAGAUGUGCCCAGAUGGGAGUAGCUUGUUGGUGGGGUAACGGCUCACCAAGGCGACGAUCCCUAGCUGGUCUGAGAGGAUGACCAGCCACACUGGAACUGAGACACGUUCCAGACUAAUACGGGAGGCAGCAGGGGGGAAUAUUGCACAAUGGGAGCAAGGCUGAUGCAGCCAUGCCGGGUGUAUGAAGAAGGCCUUCGGGUUGGAAAGUACUUUCAGCGGGGAGGCGUUACCCGCAGAAGAAGCACCGGCUAACUCCGUGCCAGCAGCCGCGGUAAUUC